GGAUCGGUAGCUCAGCGGUAGAGGUUCGUAGUUCCUUGGGUCCCGCAGUAUCCACACAGCGCGCUAACAGUUUCGACAGCGUGGGAUUGCAGUUUCUUUAUACUAUUAUCCUAAGGUCACGCGUUCGACCCGCGUUCGGUCCU